AAGUCGUAACAAGGUUUCCGUAGGUGAACCUGCGGAAGGAUCAUUACGUAUGGUAGGCCGGUCUGACCGGUUCUAUUCAACCCUGUUUUUUGCGCACCCUUUGUUUCCUCGGCAGGCUUGCCUGCCAGUAGGACCUUUUCAACCCUUCGUGUCAAAGCAAUCAGCGUCAAACAAACAAAACAAUUGUAACAACUUUCAACAACGGAUCUCUUGGUUCUG
rnacentral:misc_RNA from 1 species